AGCUGUCCUUCAUGACAACAGAACCCACAACAACCAUGACUUUUAUCACCAUCUUCAUCUGGACACUUGCUUUCUGCUUUCAAGAAUCCAAAGGACAGAUCACUGUGACUCAGACUCCUGCAGUGAAAGCUGUUCUCCCAGGACAGACAGUCUCUCUGAACUGUAAAACCAGCAGUAAUGUGUAUCAAGCAGGUUACUCUGAUGCCCGUCUUGCCUGGUAUCAACAGAAACCUGGAGGAACUCAUGAACUCCUUAUUUACCAUACUAAAAACACUCCAUCUAGAUGCAGUGUGAGAGUCAGGGUGCUGCUCCAGCUGUACAGGCCGUCCUUCUCCAGGACCCCGGGACUGGCCUCCUGCUUCUUGCUGGUCCCGUCCACUUUCCAGCUCAUGGUCCAGUCUGAGGGGAAGCCCUUGUUGGCCAGACACAUCAGUUUGGCCUGGUACCAACAGAAACCUGGAGUAGCUCCUAAACUCCUAAUAUACUGGGCUAAAACCAUUCAGUCUGGGACUCCAUCUAGAUUCAGUGGCAGUGGAUCUGGGAGUGACUUCACUCUGACCAUCAGGGGAGUCCAGGCUGAAGAUGCAGGAGAUUACUACUGUCAGAGUUUACACAACCCCAACAGUGUCUGGGUGUUCACACAGUGA